rnacentral:rRNA from 1 species
CAGUAGCCGCGGUAAUACGGAGGAUCCAAGCGUUAUCCGGAAUCAUUGGGUUUAAAGGGUCCGUAGGCGGUCUUGUAAGUCAGUGGUGAAAGCCCAUCGCUCAACGGUGGAACGGCCAUUGAUACUGCAGGACUUGAAUUAUUGGGAAGUAACUAGAAUAUGUAGUGUAGCGGUGAAAUGCUUAGAGAUUACAUGGAAUACCAAUUGCGAAGGCAGGUUACUACCAAUUGAUUGACGCUGAUGGACGAAAGCGUGGGUAGCGAACAGGAUUAGAGACCCCAGUAGUCCCUGUCUCUUAUAU